rnacentral:rRNA from 1 species
AGGCCUAACACAUGCAAGUCGAGCGGUAGAAAGUAGCUUGCUACUUUUGAGAGCGGCGGACGGGUGAGUAAUGCGUGGGAAUCUACCUGGUAGUGGGGGACAACAGUUGGAAACGACUGCUAAUACCGCAUACGCCCUACGGGGGAAAGCGGGGGAUCUUCGGACCUCGUGCUAUCAGAUGAGCCCGCGUGAGAUUAGCUUGUUGGUGGGGUAAUGGCCUACCAAGGCGACGAUCUCUAGCUGGUCUGAGAGGAUGAUCAGCCACACUGGGACUGAGACACGGCCCAGACUCCUACGGGAGGCAGCAGUGGGGAAUAUUGGACAAUGGGCGCAAGCCUGAUCCAGCCAUGCCGCGUGUGUGAAGAAGGCCUUCGGGUUGUAAAGCACUUUCAGCGAGGAGGAAAGGUUAAGUGUUAAUAGCACUUAGCUGUGACGUUACUCGCAGAAGAAGCACC